GUGGGGAAUAUUGGACAAUGGGCGAAAGCCUGAUCCAGCCAUGCCGCGUGUGUGAAGAAGGUCUUCGGAUUGUAAAGCACUUUAAGUUGGGAGGAAGGGCAGUAAGUUAAUACCUUGCUGUUUUGACGUUACCGACAGAAUAAGCACCGGCUAACUUCGUGCCAGCAGCCGCGGUAAUACGAAGGGUGCAAGCGUUAAUCGGAAUUACUGGGCGUAAAGCGCGCGUAGGUGGGUUUGUAAGUUGGAGGUGAAAUCCACGGGCUCAACCUGGGAACUGCCUCCAAAACUGCAUGACUAGAGUACGGUAGAGGGUAGUGGAAUUUCCUGUGUAGCGGUGAAAUGCGUAGAUAUAGGAAGGAACACCAGUGGCGAAGGCGACUACCUGGACUGAUACUGACACUGAGGUGCGAAAGCGUGGGGAGCAAACAGGAUUAGAUACCCGGGUAGUCC
rnacentral:rRNA from 1 species